ensembl:lncRNA
ACACAUAUAUACACACAUAUAUUAUGAAGCUUUUUUUUUUUUUCUGAUGGAGCGUGUGCCGCUAUAGUGCAUGGAAACAUGACGUAAUGCAGUAAGGUAAUUCCACAUCCAUGAAACGCUUGCGCUCUGAUGCAAUUGCCCUUUUUAGGAGACAUUCGUCAUUCAGAUGAUUACAAUACUAGGCCAGUGAAUGCCUGUUGCUGCACUGAUUGAAAAGUGCAUGGGUGGAACUGGAAUAUCAACAUCUGAACCAGGAUAAAUCCAUGGCAAACCAUUUCAUUUGGAGAUAUAACGCAAAUGAACAAAACUGCAUCUCUGGAGGCGAUAUCUCCAGCUCUAUCAGCCAGGUCGAGAUGCAGAUUUCCAAAAGCCCUUUUAUCGCCACUGUCAAUGCAGUCACAUCGAGACAAGAGCUGCGCUGGAGAAUCGAGCCUGUGAUGCCCAGUGAGAGUCUGGAGCAGACCAGAGAACCCACAGCAGCUCACAGAGAAAGCUUCAAAAGAAAUGCACAGGUAAAAUGCAACAUAUUAUAACAUAUUAUUAUUUCUGGAUAGACGCAUAAAAUAAACUCAUAAAAUACCACAAAUAAAUUAUUACAACAUACAAGACAUGCUUGUCCUGAAAACAAAAUGAAAAUCUUCAUUAGAUGGUUUCUGCCUGAAAGGUGUGUUAUACAGUGUGACAACUAGCCCCGCAACCACAGACGAGAACUUAUUCACCUUCUUCAGGAGGUGAAUAAUAGGGCUGCACUGCCAUUUUUAUUUUCAUAUUGUGUUCAGGGUGGUGCACCUUUCUGAUACAUCUUGUUUGUCCAGUUUUAACUUGAGACUUCUGUAAUUGUACAAAGAGUCUGUUAAGAAUGACAUAUGAAUAAUGAAUCACCCAAGUAUUAACAACACAUAAAUGAACGUUUCCAUAUAGUUUCAAUUUGAAAAUCAAAACAAGAAUUCCACUGCACAGUCACACUCUCAAAAACAAAAGUUG